rnacentral:ncRNA from 1 species
GACCGAUGCCAACAUGCCUGAUUUUCAGGCAGGCGCAGAACGGGCUCACACGCUGAUGCCACCGGCCUUGGCAGGCGCCAACCUCAUCUACGAGGCGG